UACGUAGGGGGCAAGCGUUGUCCGGAUUUACUGGGCGUAAAGCGCGCGUAGGCGGGAAGAGAAGUCCGGUGGGAAAGCCCACGGCUCAACCGUGGAAGGACGCUGGAAACUCUCUUUCUUGAGGGCGGCAGAGGGAAGUGGAAUUGCUGGUGUAGCGGUGAAAUGCGUAGAUAUCAGGAGGAACACCGGUGGCGAAGGCGGGUCUCUGGGCCGAUAUUGACGCUGAGGAGCGAAAGCGUGGGGAGCGAACAGG
rnacentral:rRNA from 1 species